AUCCGAGCACCUCCAGCCGCAGGGCGAUGUCGUUGAUCCAGCCCCGCGGGUGGAUUCGGAGGAAGCGUCCGAACAGAGGAGGAUUGAAAACAUUGAGGGCUUCCUCAUCUGGAUCGUUGUUUCCGUAGGUGAUUCCUACGGGGCUGAUGCUGUAGGGCUGAGAGGCCAGGUUCUUGAAGUGGACCACCACUCUAUCACCCGCCUGGGCAACGAUCACCGGACCUUGAAUACCUGUGACCAGAAGACAUGAAGUUUGUAAAGGAUUCCAACAUAUGAGCCCCAUACCGCAGGAUGUUGUCUACAUCGGUGGUCUCCAUACUGAUGCCGGCCAGGUCUAGUUGGGGCAGCAGGGCCGUGAGAAGAACCACCACGUUGUUGCGGAUGUCGCGGAGAUUCUCCUGUGCUGAUCUGAUUGGACGACAGCUUCAUUAUUAAAGCGAGGAAUGCUUUCUGAGCCUGGACCAGCAGCCCCUGGGGUCCUGCAGCCUGAACUGGACCGGAGGAUGAGGAAGUAGAGCACUGAGGGGUGGGAGAAGAAUACUUAAGACAACUGACUACCCAGAAGGCUCCGCAGCCUAUGAACCUCCUUCUCCAACCCGGCCAGCCUCUGCACUUUGGCUUCCCGUUCGCCUGCUUCUGAACGCAGCGUCCUGCUGUGUGAACCUUCUGUUCGGCUCAGCGGGGAAACCACCACAGUCUGGGUGGAGGCGGACAAGUGGGUCCAGGGAGUUGACGAUGGAGUGCUGGAGGAUGGCUGCCAGGCUGGCCUCCGAAUCCUCAGUUACAACCAGCGACUGUAGCACUGAAUUAAGGACAGAACAUAAUGCAGCAUGCAUGGCGACAAACAUAUGAUCUGCUACUCGGGAAGAAGAAAUGGUUGUCUCAUUCAUUCUUAUGUUAAGGAUAUUGGUUAGUUGGUUGAAGGGGACGAUGGGGACGAUGACAGCCUGGGCUUUGAUGUUUUCCAGGUAGGUCUGAGACAGCAUUCCCACAGUCUGACAGCCACCGUUUUUGGUGAAGAUUAG